rnacentral:rRNA from 1 species
UACAGAGGUGGCAAGCGUUGUUCGGAAUUACUGGGCGUAAAGGGCGCGUAGGCGGUUCGUUAAGUCCUGUGUGAAAUCCCCCGGCUCAACUGGGGAACUGCACAGGAAACUAGCGGGCUUGAGUUCGGGAGAGGGAAGCGGAAUUCCGGGUGUAGCGGUGAAAUGCGUAGAGUAUCCGGAGGAACACCGGUGGCGAAGGCGGCUUCCUGGACCGACACUGACGCUGAGGCGCGAAGCUAGGGGAGCAAACGG